UCCGAGUUGACCCCGGCAGUCUCCUACGAGUCCCCGCCUUUACGCGCUGGCAACAUAGGACAAGGGUUGCGCUCGUUGCGGGACUUAACCCAACAUCUCACGACACGAGCUGACGACAACCAUGCACCACCUGUGUACCGCCCCGAAGGACACCGUAUCUCUACGGCUUUUCGGUACAUGUCAAGCCCAGGUAAGGUUCUUCGCGUUGCAUCGAAUUAAGCAACAUGCUCCGCCGCUUGUGCGGGCCCCCGUCAAUUCCUUUGAGUUUUAGCCUUGCGGCCGUACUCCCCAGGCGGGGCACUUAAUGCGUUAGCUACGGCACGGAACCCGUUGAUAAGGUCCCACACCUAGUGCCCAACGUUUACGGCGUGGACUAC
rnacentral:misc_RNA from 1 species